rnacentral:rRNA from 1 species
CCUACGGGAGGCAGCAGUGGGGAAUAUUGGACAAUGGGGGGAACCCUGAUCCAGCCAUGCCGUGUGUGUGAAGAAAGUCUUCGGAUUGUAAAGCACUUUAAGUUGGGAGGAAGGGCAGUAAGCUAAUACCUUGCUGUUUUGACGUUACCGACAGGAUAAGCACCGGCUAACUCUGUGCCAGCAGCCGCGGUAAU